rnacentral:rRNA from 1 species
CUGGCUCAGGAUGAACGCUGGCGGCGUGCCUAAUACAUGCAAGUCGAGCGAACAGAUAAGGAGCUUGCUCCUUGACGUUAGCGGCGGACGGGUGAGUAACACGUGGGUAACCUACCUAUAAGACUGGGAUAACUCGGGAAACCGGAGCUAAUACCGGAUAACAUUUGGAACCGCAUGGUUCUAAAGUGAAAGAUGGUUUUGCUAUCACUUAUAGAUGGACCCGCGCCGUAUUAGCUAGUUGGUAAGGUAACGGCUUACCAAGGCGACGAUACGUAGCCGACCUGAGAGGGUGAUCGGCCACACUGGAACUGAGACACGGUCCAGACUCCUACGGGAGGCAGCAGUAGGGAAUCUUCCGCAAUGGGCGAAAGCUUGACGGAGCAACGCCGCGUGAGUGAUGAAGGGUUUCGGCUCGUAAAACUCUGUUAUUAGGGAAGAACAAAUGUGUAAGUAACUGUGCACGUCUUGACGGUACCUAAUCAGAAAGCCACGGCUAACUACGUGCCAGCCGCCGC